rnacentral:ncRNA from 1 species
UAAAUUUUUUAUGGUUUAAAAAAAUUUACAAUAAAUUUGUUUUACAUCUAAAUUUUAGUGUUAGUUUUUAAUUGUUUUAAUAAUAAUUGAAUUAUUAAGGUAGUAAUUAGUAUUAAAAAUUUAAGAAAUUAAGAUUUAGCAUUAUAAAAAUUAUUAACUAAUUUUGUGCCAGCAGUUGCGGUUAUACAAAAAAUAAGUUAAAUUUUUUUAGUGGUUAAUUAUUAAUUAUAAUUUAAUUAAAAAUUUAAAUUAUUAGGUGAAAUUUUAAUUUAAAAAAAAUUAUUAAAAUUUUAUGAUUAUUGAUAAAUUUUAUAAAAAACUAGGAUUAGAUACCCUAUUAUUGAGAAUUUAAGUAAAAAUACUAAAAUAGUAGAUAAUUAUUUAUUGAAACUUAAAUAAUUUGGCGGUAUUUUAGUUCAUUUAGAGGAAUCUGUUUAUUAAUUGAUAUUCCACGAUUGAAUUUACUUAAUUUAAAAGUUUAUAUAUCGUUGUUAAAAAAAUAUUUUAAAAUAAAAAUAAUAUUUAAAAAUUUUUAUGGAAAAAUUAAAUCAGAUCAAGAUAUAGUUUAUAAUUAAGAAUAUAAUGGAUUACAAUAAAUUUAUUUAUAUGGAUUUUAAUUUGAAAUAAUUAAAAAAAAGUGGAUUUAACUGUAAUUUUUUUUUAAUAUAGAAGAAAUGAUUAAAAAUUAAAAUAUGUACAUAUUGCCCGUCACUUUCAUUAAAAAAUUGAAAUAAGUCGUAACAAAGUAGGGGUACUGGAAAGUGUUCCUAGAAAGA